AUUGAACGCUGGCGGCAUGCCUAACACAUGCAAGUCGAACGAGACCUUCGGGUCUAGUGGCGCACGGGUGCGUAACGCGUACGUAACCUGCCUUACAGAGGGGAAUAGCCCUGGGAAACUGGGAUUAAUACUCCAUAGUAUAUAGAUGGCGCAUGCUGUUUAUAUUAAAGUUGAGGCGCUGUAAGAUGGGCGUGCGUGCUAUUAGCUAGUUGGUGAGGUAACGGCUCACCAAGGCUACGAUAGCUAGGGGGCGUGAGAGCGUGGCCCCCCACACGGGUACUGAGACACGGACCCGACUCCUACGGGAGGCAGCAGUAAGGAAUAUUGGACAAUGGUCGAAAGACUGAUCCAGCCAUCCCGCGUGCAGGAUGACUGCCCUAUGGGUUGUAAACUGCUUUUAUAUGGGAAGAAUAGCAUAGAUUCAUCUGUGUAUGACGGUACCAUAUGAAUAAGCACCGGCUAACUCCGUG
rnacentral:rRNA from 1 species